AACGAACGCUGGCGGCAUGCCUAACACAUGCAAGUCGAACGAGAUCCUUCGGGGUCUAGUGGCGCACGGGUGCGUAACGCGUGGGAAUCUGCCCUUAGGUUCGGAAUAACAGUUAGAAAUGACUGCUAAUACCGGAUGAUGACGUUAAGUCCAAAGAUUUAUCGCCUGAGGAUGAGCCCGCGUAGGAUUAGCUAGUUGGUGUGGUAAAGGCGCACCAAGGCGACGAUCCUUAGCUGGUCUGAGAGGAUGAUCAGCCACACUGGGACUGAGACACGGCCCAGACUCCUACGGGAGGCAGCAGUGGGGAAUAGUGGACAAUGGGCGCAAGGCUGAUCCAGCAAUGCCGCGUGAGUGAUGAAGGCCUUAGGGUUGUAAAGCUCUUUUAACCGGGAUGAUAAUGACAGUACCGGGAGAAUAAGCCCCGGCUAACUCCGUG
rnacentral:rRNA from 1 species